ACUCCUACGGGAGGCAGCAGUAGGGAAUCUUCCACAAUGGACGAAAGUCUGAUGGAGCAACGCCGCGUGAGUGAAGAAGGGUUUCGGCUCGUAAAACUCUGUUGUUAAAGAAGAACAUAUCUGAGAGUAACUGUUCAGGUAUUGACGGUAUUUAACCAGAAAGCCACGGCUAACUACGUGCCAGCAGCCGCGGUAAUACGUAGGUGGCAAGCGUUGUCCGGAUUUAUUGGGCGUAAAGCGAGCGCAGGCGGUUUUAAGUCUGAUGUGAAAGCCUUCGGCUCAACCGAAGAAGUGCAUCGGAAACUGGGAAACUUGAGUGCAGAAGAGGACAGUGGAACUCCAUGUGUAGCGGUGAAAUGCGUAGAUAUAUGGAAGAACACCAGUGGCGAAGGCGGCUGUCUGGUCUGUAACUGACGCUGAGGCUCGAAAGUAUGGGUAGCAAACAGGAUUAGAUACCCCUGGUAGGAUAGCG
rnacentral:rRNA from 1 species